UUUACAAUUACAAAUUAAAUGCUAUUUUUAAAUAUAUAUAUUUUUUAUACAAACCAUAUACAAAAAUAUACCACAGUAGCAUACAUGUGGUUAUUUUAAAUUUAAAUAAGUACGAACUAGCACGCUAAACACCUGCCGCAGUGCGUCAUGGCGUAAGCAGCAACUCCCUACGCAUAUCUACAGAGAGCAGCAUGGUAAAGUUACUCCAGGACUGGCUGUUCAAACUAAGCUUUCAAAACUGGAGCACUGUUUCAAGAUAAACAACAGUGUUCAGUUGUAAACGCAGAAGAAACGCUGAGCAGUGUUCGUGUUCAUCUCUGAGGCUGGGCUUCGCUCUGCGUUUCCACUGCUGAGAAAUUUAACAGCAGUAAAAUUAAUCAGCAGCUGCCAUGACUCAAGAAACUCAUUUCCAUCGACAACGAAAUGUUUAAGAGUGCUUAAAUGGAUGAAAGAGGAAGGUAAUAAAAAAGCGAUGGGUGGAGAGAAAUGCAUAAUAAGAGACUGAAGGCCUCCUGGAGGAAGAGAGCAGACAGAAUAAGACAAGGACAGAGAAGAGAAAGAGAGCAGUUCAACUUUCCUGGAACUUUACAACUUAACAUUUUUUUGUGGAAAUUCUAAUCAGUAGACUGGAGUGAGCUCUCUGCUGACACUUUCCAGAGUAGCCCGUUCAACCCAUACACCAUAUGGGUACCAGCUUGACUUAGACUUUGUUAAAUACGUGGAUGAUAUCGAGCGAAGUGACACCAUUCACCGACUGCAUUUUAACAAGCGGCCAGGGGUGGCAAAUGCUGCCUCUG